CCUACGGGUGGCAGCAGUGAGGAAUAUUGGUCAAUGGACGCAAGUCUGAACCAGCCAUGCCGCGUGCAGGAAGACGGCCCUAUGAGUUGUAAACUGCUUUUGUACGAGGGUAAACUCAGAUACGCGUACCUGUCUGAAAGUAUCGUACGAAUAAGGAUCGGCUAACUCCGUGCCAGCAGCCGCGGUAAUACGGAGGAUUCAAGCGUUAUCCGGAUUUAUUGGGUUUAAAGGGUGCGUAGGCGGUCGGAUAAGUCAGAGGUGAAAUCCCGAGGCUCAACUUCGGAAUUGCCUCUGAUACUGUUAGGCUAGAGAGUAGUUGCGGUAGGCGGAAUGUAUGGUGUAGCGGUGAAAUGCUUAGAGAUCAUACAGAACACCGAUUGCGAAGGCAGCUUACCAAGCUACUUCUGACAUUGAGGCACGAAAGCGUGGGGAGCAAACAGGAUUAGAUACCCCAGUAGUC
rnacentral:rRNA from 1 species